GUUUUGAUAGGUCCCUGUGGCAGCAGAAAACUCGACUCAAGUUUACUUUUUUGAGCUUGAAAUAGAGUCAUUAGUAUAUCAUGAAACAUACCUCUCGAUGUUGUCACCUUUAAAUAUACCAAAUGCGAUUGUCUCAAACAUCAACAUUACAGCAGAUUGUAAAGUGAAUGAAAGCGACAGCACCAAAAAAAUCUGUUCAUGCACGUAUGGACACAGAUGGACUUCAGAUAUAUGCGACAGAUACAAAUGCUGCAAAAAUGAGAACUGCACACUUAAUGUCACAAAUAAUGCCACAGAUGUUGCCGUGUGCCUGCCUAUUAAUACAGUGAUUAUCAAUGGGUCGACUACCUUUCCAAGUUAUAAUUAUGGUGAUUUAUAUGAUCAAAACAACAAACAAACUGAUAAGU